rnacentral:rRNA from 1 species
GACGAACGCUUGCGGCAUGCCUGAGAAAUGCAAGUCGAACGAGAUCCGGGGCAACUCGGGUCUAGUGGCGAACGGUCGAGUAACACGUAAGCAACCUGCCCGGAAGCGGGGGAUAAGCCGUCGAAAGACGGGGUAAUACCGCAUAACUUCGGGGGCUGAUGGCCCUUGAAGAAAGAUUUAUCACUUCCGGAGGGGCUUGCGGCCUAUCAGCUAGUUGGCGGGGUAACGGCCCACCAAGGCGACGACGGGAGCUGGUCUGAGAGGACGGCCAGCCGGACUGGGACUGAGACACGGCCCAGACUCCUACGGGGGGCAGCAAUCAGGAAUCUUGCGCAAUGGGCGAAGGCCUGACGCAAGCGAUGCCGCGUGGACGAUGAAAGUCUUUCGGA